UACGUAGGGUGCAAGCGUUGUCCGGAAUUAUUGGGCGUAAAGAGCUCGUAGGCGGUGUGUCGCGUCGGCCGUGAAAACCUGGGGCUUAACUCUGGGCGUGCGGUCGAUACGGGCAUCACUAGAGUUCGGCAGGGGAGACUGGAAUUCCUGGUGUAGCGGUGAAAUGCGCAGAUAUCAGGAGGAACACCCGUGGCGAAGGCGGUUCUCUGGGACGGUACUGACGCUGAGACGCGAAAGCGUGGGGAGCGAACAGG
rnacentral:rRNA from 1 species